GCAGAGAUGUCUGAGUGGUUUAAGGAGCACGAUUGGAAAUCGUGUGUAGGUCUGAAGCCUACCGGAGGUUCAAAUCCUCUUCUCUGCG
rnacentral:tRNA from 1 species